GAUGUGGGGAGUGUAGCCUAGCUCGAGAGAUUGAUUUGAUACUAAGGCUACGCACACAAGGUUGUGAUCACAGCUUUGUCUCGGACCAGGCUUCAUUCCCCUCAGU
rnacentral:pre_miRNA from 1 species